rnacentral:rRNA from 2 species
AUCAGGGGUAAACCUGUGGAACUCGAACGAGUGAACGGGGAGACUCAUCUGUUCUCCGGGCGUCCGCGGCGAYGCGRUGUCAUGGCGUCGCUCUUCGCCGUGGCGUCCGGAAGCGGUGCACUUCUCCCUUAGUAAAACACCGCGACCCGUUGCUGGGUCGAACGCACCGUCAGUUGUCCCGUCUCCGGAGGCGGAGCUGUGGUGUCGUGACUCUCCUGCGACGGUAGAGAACGAGGAUCGCUUCCGCCGGCGUCUGUUGUGUGGSGGCGUCGUUCCCCGUAUGGUCGGCGUGCGUCGAUCGUGCGGAACGGCGCGUCUGUUGCGCAAAUUCAGACGGGAAGCGUCCCGGUCSGCGGUGGUUUUGUUUCGGGCACUCACAGGACCCGUCUUGAAAC